rnacentral:rRNA from 1 species
GAUGAACGCUGGCGGCGUGCCUAAUACAUGCAAGUCGAGCGAACAGACGAGGAGCUUGCUCCUCUGACGUUAGCGGCGGACGGGUGAGUAACACGUGGAUAACCUCCCUAUAAGACUGGUAUAACUUCGGGAAACCGGAGCUAAUACCGGAUAAUAUAUUGAACCGCAUGGUUCAAUAGUGAAAGACGGUUUUGCUGUCACUUAUAGAUGGAUCCGCGCCGCAUUAGCUAGUUGGUAAGGUAACGGCUUACCAAGGCAACGAUGCGUAGCCGACCUGAGAGGGUGAUCGGCCACACUGGAACUGAGACACGGUCCAGGGUACUACGGGAGGCAGCAGUAGCGAAUCUGACGCAAUGGGCGAAAGCCUGACGGAGCAACGCCGAGUGAAUGAUGAAGGUCUUCGGAUCGUAAAACUCUGUUACUAGGGAAGAACAAAUGUGUAAGUAACUAUGCACGUCUUGACGGUACCGAAUCAGAAAGCCACGGCUAACUACGUG